CCAUAUUCGUCAUCCGUACGAUCUUCAUCUGACGGUUGGAAAUCAUUCUCGCAAAGCAUCUCGACCUCUCGUGGUCCCUCUCGCUCUGUCGCCGCGCGGCUAGCGUGCCUCCUCCGUCUCUCCAUAUAUCUCUCCUCCCUCUUGUUUUUGAAGUAUCCCAUCCACAAGAACACAACUUCAGCACAGAUUUUCCCAUCAUCAAAUAGCUCAAUCCAAUCUGGUUCACACCCUCUCCGCAAGAUCCAAAACUUUUGUCUUCCUGAAUGCUUCCAGGUUCAUAUAAUAGAACUGGGAAGACAAAGAACACCAACAAAGAUUAUAUUCAUCACUAGCACGGAAUCAAAACAAUAGAAGCAAAAAGGUUCAAGAAUGCAUUGGAGCAGCAGUGGUUCCUAUGGGACCAGAUAAAGCUCUUUCAUUGGUUCCAAUAGCUUUUCAUGAAGAUCGGUUGACAUGCUCAAAUUCUUGGCUUCUACCUAUUUUGGAUAAGUAUACAUAUGGAGCCCUGCUGCAACUUUUUCUAGAGCAUAUUGUACCCCUAGCAAAAUCUGUACAAAAUGCAUCUGACAUGGUUUGAGCAGAAUAUCAAGUGCCGUGGUGGAUAUAUUAAGCUUAUAUCCUAUUAUGUCAACCAGAAAAAAAAUUAGUGUCGACACUCCAUAAAGCCUCUAUUGUUGUUGGCACCUCCGAUUGCCACAUUAAAAGAGUUUUCAACUUGGUCAAGACACGCCUAAACAGGUUCAAAAGACCAAACAAUUUUGAAUUUUGCUUCAGGGAUCACAUAUGUACCUAGCUAUGCUGAACUGUCAGUGUUUCCCCCCAAAGUAGAUGUGUAACUGCAAAUUCGAUCCUCCACAGCUGAGUACAGGUUCCAAUGAGCAGUGUGUCAAACCAGAUACGAAGCAAACAACUCUAGCGACCACUGAAGAUCAGCACUAGAGGACAAUCUUUUGUGGACACUACAAGUCAGAUCAAAUCAGGCAGCUGUUGCUCCCAGGAUUAACACAAGCCAGCUCAGAUUAGCACAACUCAUUUCUUUGGAUUCUACGGAUAAAGUCACCAUCAGUACAUGUAACUUGGACGCUUGUUCAUCUAAAAACUCUGUAUCAAUGCAUACAAAUAGAUAAAUGUUUAAGUAUCCGUAAUUUCAAAUCCCUUCAUGUACAAUUAGCGACAGUUCCGAUUUCUGUACUCCAAACCUUUCUUUUAGCAAACAUAACUGAUACCUUAAAGAUAUAUGUGAUGCAUGAA